CUAGCCGUAAACGAUGGAUACUAGGCGUUGUGAGUAUCGACCCUCACAGUGUCGUAGCUAACGCGUUAAGUAUCCCGCCUGGGGAGUACGCGCGCAAGCGCGAAACUCAAAGGAAUUGACGGGGGCCCGCACAAGCGGUGGAGUAUGUGGUUUAAUUCGAUGCAACGCGAAGAACCUUACCAGGACUUGACAUGUCGCGAAUCUCAGGGAAACUUGAGAGUGCCUUCGGGAGCGCGAAUACAGGUGGUGC
rnacentral:rRNA from 1 species